rnacentral:lncRNA from 10 species
GGGCUGUUGGCCUAUUGGUACUGUAUGAUGUCCCAUGUCCUUGUUUUCACCCGGUUUUCGUUCCAUCGCAGGGUGCUCUAUGCUUAGCCCAUCAUAGAUUGUGGCCCUUCAUUCCUGCAUUUGAUGAAUCCAGGGAACCCUCUCUCCAACACCCUUGGCCUCUCUGCAACUUUCUAACAUCAGGCAGAGUCAGAGGCACCAUCCCCAGAAGCUACAAAUCUUCAGCAUUCUCCACUCUGUGAAGUCAGAGGAAUGGCGGGACCAUAGCUCUGAGCUCAUUGGCAAAUACAACUAAUUUCAAUUUCUGGAAUGGAAGCAGUCAGAUAUUCUUCUGACUGCACGCGUAUGUGGGAGUGCCAUGUUGAAGAGUGGAAAAUAUGGAAGAUCAGUCCCUACAAACUUAAUAGGAGAAUGACAUUCAGAUUUCCCGAGUAUUUUGCAUGUCCAACUGAAAACUGAAGUAGGUUUAUGAGAGAAUGCACGCCUACCUGGAUGGGUCUGGGGAGUGUGUCACUGUCACCGCAGAUAAUUGACAAGGGCUGAUCAAAUAGCGAUGCUUUCAAGUCUGUCUCCAAAGCCCCAGAAAAAUCUGAUGCAGGGGAGAGCCUUCUCAUGAGAAAGGGCCAGGACAGCACCUUCUUUCUCUUCUUAACUUCUACAGCCAAGAAAACAAGGCAACGAGAAAAAUUAGACUACAGUGUUAAGAAGCAAAGAUCCAGGUAAGAAAAUGGGUAUCGUUGGCCGCAUAAUGUGGUCAAUAGUAUGCGAUGUGAGAAAAAUAAUUUUGAAAACUUGAGAAAGCAAAGGGCGUGAAUCUUAAUCUAGAAAAACCAACCGAUAAACAACCACACUGUUACCAGGGCAACCAGUUCCCUAAACAGCAACACCAGAGUUCCUCAAGGCCUCCACCUUUCCUGUUUUCACUCUUUCCAGCUGUUUGCUACAGAAAAUUAGCAAAACCUAACUGUGCUGAUCAUAAACAACCAUCUUAACCUACUGGCCUGAAUAACUAUAGAGGAAAUUUCUGAUAUGAAAUAGAUUAUUUUGAUUUCCUCCUUUAACUGGCGAAGAAAACGAAACUUAAAAGGUGAGGAAGUGACUUGCUGAAUAUCUUUUCGAAGGCACAUAGCAGGGCUGGCUCCAACCCUUUGCAGCCACGCAGGCACUAAACAGCCACUAGAGGGAGCUAACACCAUUUUUCCUUCCAGGUGACUGGUCACCUUGGGUUUUCCAGGUUGCUGCUUUAGGACAGAGGCAAAUACGAAUCGCUGCGGGAAGCCUUGAACCUAGAUCUGGCAACUGGGAAUUAUCAGCAAAACGUUAUCAAGAUAUUCUGUCCUUCUGAAAUCCACAAGAUGUGUGUGCAAUGGAUAUUGCAAUCUCAAACAUUUCCUUCUUUCUUUUCUUUUCCUUCCUUCCUUCCUUCUCCUUUCUUACUAAUUAUAAAGGCUAUAUUUUCUAAAUGCAUUGGCAUCUGUUUCUAUACAUUUCAGAUUGGCAAGUGGAAGCAUGAUGAGAAAGAAGUGGCCUGUCUUUAUGGUUCAGGAGAACUGGGUCAGGGUUACGCUAUAAUGAAAUGCAUUAUGAAAAAAGUUGAGAGUGAAUGGUGGGUCCUUUGGGAUUUGAGAUCAGCAACAGUUGCUUCAUAGGCUCUUGGAUGCAUUCUCCAUAAGAGAAGGAAGAAAAUGGAAAAGACACUGUGUGUUUUUCAAAUGUGUGCAUGCUAAUUGUCGAAACAUACAUGGCCAGGAGAUUGAACCGCAUUAAAAACGCUUGGCAGAACUGGGGAUUCUCUAUGGAGAGGCUCUUUCCUUUCCCAGCACUCCCUGCUCUAGUGAGUUGGAGCAUACCUGCCAUUUAAGGGUUAAUGUUCUGCGGUCUUUAACAGAACAACUUAUACAAAAAAAUUCCUAGUAGAGUAAAAGCGCUGUGGUUUUGCAAACCAAGAGCACUGGUUGUUAGCACUUACAUAAAAGAUCGGUAUGUUUUUAAAACUCACCAAUGAGCUGGCAAAUACUGUCUUCACUCUCACAUGAUGCCAACAGGGGAUGUUCCUUGAUAUCACCCUAAAAACAUUUUUAUUUCAGUUAAAUAUAGUGACUGAAGAAACCUAUCGAGUCUUUCCCCACAAAACACACAUACAGCAUUUUAUUCAUAUUAAAAAUGAAGUCAGUAGAGUGCAUUGAUGUUUUUUCUAGCUUCUAGAAGCAAUAUUAAGGUCUUGAUUGUCAUCAUAUAAGAUCCUAAUUAAUGUGCUUAAUUUACUACAUGUGUGAUGUUAGUUUACUACUCUUAUAAUUACUAUUCAACCCAAAUAAUAUUCAAUUAAAACAAAGUUUUCCACCUUCUCACAGUACAGAUAAAAAGUCUUAAAAAUUGCUUUCUUACCUCUGAUUGACAUUCGAUUAGUGUCUCCAUAUUAUUGGCGUUUAGUGUUUUUGACUAAAAGAGAAAAAAUAAAAUUAGGUAAAUAUCUUUUGGCCCUUGCCUGUAGGAAACGUGAAUGAAUGAAUGUGAGAGGGGCACUCACAGCAUUGUGGCUGCUUCUCAGCUUCAUCAGUAUUGCGGCUGACUGUCCAGGGGUGGAUUUCACUCCCGUGUGGCUGUGCCUCUGUCUACAACGAAUCACAUGGAAAGGAGUUAGGAGGGACUCACACAGUAGGCCACUUUCAGCGCCACUUUGCCAAAGCACAGAGUUUGAAACUAUUUAUUUAUUUUUCUCUUUUGCUAUUUUUUCACUUGCCUUUACUUUGGAAAAAACUAUUACAUAGACAAGUUUUCAUUUAAAAUCAGUUCUGUUACCAGAUGUUGUAUGUUGUUAAGAGCAGCAUCUGAACACAAUUAUUUCUAAAUUAUUUAAGUCAACUAUCUUUACCACUCUAAACGUUGUUACCAAUUUAUUCCGUUCCAUCAAGAGAUAAUCUGGAUAUCAAUUACGUUAACAUUUUAAAUUAACAUGAACAUUAACUUUUUUGGUGGAGUGCUGACUAUAUGCCAGCUGUCGUAGUAGGUGCUUUGCAUGGAUUUUCUCAUCUAAUCCAAAAAGGAAAAAAAAAAAAACAUAUCCCUAGGAUGCUAAAAUAGUAAACAUGAAACAAAGAUAACAUUUACAGAACUCCUACACCAAAAAGGUGCAGCCUUCACGUUGAAGCAAAGCUUUGUCCUGAGACUUUAUAAAGUGAGAGCAUAUUCCACGGGAUAGCUGUUUUCUGUUGCCUGUGAUCUGAGUGACCUGUGACUUGCGAGGCAGCUUGUAAUUUCUAGGCAUGUUAAUAUAUAGUGUACUUACCCUUGGAGGGUCUCUAGCCAGAGUUCUUUUACAUCCGGUGAGCUGUAA